UUUAAUUGAAGAGUUUGAUCAUGGCUCAGAUUGAACGCUGGCGGCAGGCCUAACACAUGCAAGUCGAGCGGUAACAGAGAGUAGCUUGCUACUCUGCUGACGAGCGGCGGACGGGUGAGUAAUGCUUGGGAAUAUGCCUUAUGGUGGGGGACAACAGUUGGAAACGACUGCUAAUA
rnacentral:rRNA from 1 species